UAAGGAGCACGCCAUGCAAUAUCGUUUUGCCGGGUGGCCCAUUGCUGGCUGCCCUUCUG
rfam:Salmonella phage vB_SosS_Oslo, complete genome.